GUUGGAAAACUGAGAUGGAAACUUAGCUUCAACAUGGCUUGCAGUGCCAUGUGUUGCACCAAGCAAAACUCUGCCUUGAUUUGUGGGAUGACCUAGCCUAACUGGUUCAUUUAGUUGGCUGGCAAAACCAGAAGAAGUGACAGGAUACAUGUGGCCAAAAGAAAUAAAAGCAUUAAGUACUGAACUUUGUAUUGUAAGAAAUAUUAGUUUUUCUUUUCUGAACAACAGUAAAGGUAAAUUCAGGUAAAAAGGUGGAUAUUGCACAUGAUUUCAUAAAUCUGACAUCAAGGUUAUGUUAAGCAACACCUGAUAUUUCAGAAUAUAAGUCUCCAGAUUAAGCACUAUCCUUCCACUAUGACUUUUGCCAAUCAAAGUGUGGUACCUCUUUUUCUCACUGAAUAACAACUUACUUUCCUAUUCACAGAAACUUAUGACAUGGUAAAAACCAUUAACAUCAUCCUUAGUAACUAAAUCAUGUUACUGGUGUGUAUAUAUUUUUUUAUCAAGUAAUCCUACAUAAUAGGCCAUUAGAAAGAUGAACCAUUUAACAAGAGUCAAAUCAGACAUUUUAUGAGAUUCAAAAAUAGCAUAUUUUGGAAUAGAACAUUGAAUAAGAGUCUACUCUUUGUUGGAACUACAACCACCAACCCACCAUCUGCACUUCCAUUUAUGUGUAUAUAGUCAAGCAUUCUGAUGCUAUACAUUAAUUAGGGGUAGCAGCUAGUACGCCUUUUUGGGUGCCUGUGUAAACCGACCCAUUUAAACUGGAUAUAGAAGACCUUUAAUCAGGUUUAGGAUAUGUCCAGAAAAAAAAAAAUAGGCACCUGAGUCAUGUUUGAGUUCAUUUACCUAGAUAAUUAAUUGGGUUGGAUUUCGGUUCUGAAAGAGCAAACUUCAAGGUUACUCAACUCGCUGUCAUUCCUGUCGUUAAAACAUAUUUGCAGUGCAUCGAGUUUGAUAACUUUUAUAUGACCAUCAAGAACUUUCACGUAUUAAGGAGUUUAUAUAAAGUUUGUGAUGAAAACUUCUUCUGCAAAUGAUUUGAUAACUUUUUGUAAAGAAAAAUUUUGUUCGCAUUAUCAAAUUUAAGUCUUAAAUUCCAUUGUCAAGAUAGAGACACAAAAAGUCUUUAAGAACAGAUACAAACAAAGAGACAACAGAUGCACUGUACAGGCUGAAAACAACAUGAGGGUUGUUUCAGGAAUAAAAUAACAAGAUGUCUACUGUUAAAGCAAUAUGGUUUGAAAACAACGGCACGUAAAUCGGAUCUAAGACCCAGAGUAGAACAUUUGAUUUGAUUAAAUGCAAAAAAAAAUCUCUUGUAAAAGGAUAGCAUGGACAAGGGGUAGUAGAAGAAUUGGCCAGAAGAAGAAGAAAAAAAAAACAGUGAUGAAGAUCAAGAAAGGCCAAUGGACAAGAUACUUUGGUCUUAAAUAAAUUGACCUACAUUAUCUAGAUGCAUGAGAUGUGCAUCUACCAUGCAAUGGAUGAGAUACUUUGAUCUUGAAUAAAUCAACCUACAUUAUCUAGAUGCAUGAGAUGUGCAUCUACCAUGCAUUAGUUUCCAAGAGCUCACCAACUUGCUUAUAAAAGAAUCUUGGUCAAAGAAGUACUACAGAUAGGCCUAAAAAUUGAAUGGAAAGUGGAUUGACUGAAUGGUGCCAAAAUGAAGUUCACCAUUUAUUCUGACUCAAAAGAAAUCUAAAUCCAAUGUAUUUAAAUCUUCAUGAAAUAUAAAUUCAAUGCAAGAAGUCCUCUAAAGCACCUAAAAAUUAACACAACUUAAACCAAAGCUUAUUUUGACUCGAUUUUGUAACCUAUCUAAACUAACCCUACCUGUUUCAUCCAUCAUUUGCCAAUUUUAUCCUUGAUAUCCCUGAACAAAAGGAGACACCAGCCACUAUGGACUCUGUGAUAGCAAGAAGGCCCAUCUAUGUUUGCCACUAGAUCUAGAUGACAAUUUAUUGCCUGGAUAGACAAUGGUUAGUUUAUCUUUGGAGCUCAGUUUGCAGUUGGAAGCAUAAGUAACAUCGGCAUCCUUGAACACUAGAUCUUGGAAAGAAACAUGAACUAGAACGACCUUGAGGUAUUCCCUUGUUGAGUUCGAAAUAUUUUUGACAACAAUGGUGACGAUAGGCACUAGAUCUAAUCAUACUUUAUUUGUGACUUGCCCAAUCUGAUCUUUGCAGCUAUGGUCAUCUUAUUUAUUUAAAUCUUUCACCAUUUGGACCGUUUCUCAAUUGUAUGGAACAUAACUAACAACACUUCUUGACAUCAAAUCUUACACCCCUAACAUGGUAUUGUUAUGGUCCUUUCUUAUAGUAUCAGUUUCACAUACACCAUUUAAGAUGCUCCCAAACUGCAAGAUGUUAAAAUGAGUAAGUUAUCCACAUUGCCACCUUUUUGUUUUAAAGGAUUAAUUUCUCACCACCAAAACGACUAGCAGCCAUAUUGGCUCCACAGAACCAUUUAGGGGCCAAUUGAAGGUCAGUCACACAAAUCAAUGUUUCCCCUAGUUGAGAUGGGGGCAUUAGGAUUGUUAUGAAAUAUGAACUGGUCUGAAUAACAAAGACAGCAUUCGAGCUGUAUUCACAAAGAAAUAGAACCCCAUGAUAAAAUAUCUAUUAGUGCAACAGCAAUCCAGCUCAUAGCGAUUCGUUUGAACCCUUAUAACAUCAAAGAAAUAUCAAACGAUCCACUUCCAAGUUGUUCAUGAUUAUGCCCAUGUAGAUAAAAAUGGUUCUAAUUUCAACCAACAUUUAGGACUUGGACCAUAGAACUCCAAUGUCCUUCGCAACAAAACAGAACAUAAACAUCAAGAACAACUGAUACCUCGGUAAUCAAGAAUUAGGUAACCGAUGUCAUAAUGCAAGAUGUGGGGUUAACUUAAAAGAAAAAGUUUUUUUUUUUUAUUCUUUUACAGCUCAGAACAUAUCAUAUCGUUAAUUGACUUCGAGGAUUGACUCAAAACUCAGGCUAGGAACGACCGCACAAGAAAGACGAAGAGAAAGAGAGAUCGGGAUUCACCUUUGCGCUCGAGAAGACACUUUCCCUUGUCUUUGACGCGGCUGAUUGAUCUGGGCGGAAGGAAAUUGGCCCUUUUCGUGGAAAAUGUUGGUUUUCGGUGUGGAAGGGCCGGAAGGGAAGAUCACGGGGACCUGGGAACUUGGA
rnacentral:lncRNA from 1 species